rnacentral:lncRNA from 1 species
UGUCACGCCCUGGGACCCAACAGAAGCCCGCCCGGUGCGUGUCCAGACCCGUCAUAUGCCUACACAUAUAAGGCGUUUAGAGCAAUAGUAUACGAAAGCAAGGAAACAAAACAUCUAGAGAUAUUAGAGCAUAAAUAAAGCUAGAAUCUAACCACGAGAAAUAAGUAACUAGACUAGAAGAUCAUCAUUCCCAAAGUUAGAUAAAUACAUCAAGAACCAUAAAUAGCACUAGAUACAUAAGGUGGUAGUCUCUACAAAAGGGGUACAAAACUCUCAUUCUCUCCAACCAAAACAAAAGGAGAAAAUGAACCACCUAAAGCAAGACUCCUCGCUAGCUAUCACGAAGCGACACCCUUGCCGCGGUCCCAAGUCUCUCCCGGCAUGGAAGGCUCUGAAAUAAACAACAAACAGAGGGCGUGAGAACUAUUAAACAAUAGUUCCCAGUGGGCAAACCGCUGACCUCAGGAAAAAUACUCCACUACGCUAAAGAGGUAUACGAACUAUAAUAAACAACAUAUAAGGAAAUACAACAAUUAAUUUCGCUAAGUUAGGAUGUCGCAAAUUUAGCAUGAUAUGAACAUGAAAAGUUGCUAAUCUAUCAUAAUCGAUUAUAUCCAAGGAUACACUAGUAUGUUCUAAACAUGAUCAUCAUAAUUGUAAAUAUGCACCAAGUAUAGUCCAUCAAUAUACCACUAAGUCCAACUAGUGUAAUAAUAUGCCCAAACAAUACCUACUAUCAAGUAGUGAAUGUCACUUAGUUGUUACAUUGUCAUAUUCCAUUUCCAAUCUAGGACUUACACAAGUGUAGUCCAGCUUGUGCCGCUUAAUGGCCCCGGGUAGUCCAGCAUUUCUCUAGGAAUGUGACUGUCCCACGGUGACCCAGUAGGCCCUCAAUCCCGCACGGGCGAGCAUAAGUCGCGUAGGCCAACUCCGAAGUGCCGGCUUGUAGGGAGCGACCCUCACAAGCAUGUGCGAAUGAGCACAAAUGGCAAGCAAGCGUAAUCAUGAACUCAAGUACUCUGUCAUCAUGUCACAACAUGGUAUAACACUAGCAUCCCUAAAGGUCUAGUUCUAUGUCAUGAGGUAAAGGAUCAACCAUUUACUAUCUAAUGCCACUUUAUGACAUUAUAAAUUUACCAAGCCCAAACAUAUUCCAAGCUCAAUGCCCCUUUAUGACAUUGUAGCUCACUAAGUCCAUGCAUACCCCAAGUACAAUGCCACUUUAUGGCAUUAUAAUUCUACUAUAUUUAACAUAUGUCCAUUGUUCAUGAGCAACUAAUUGCAUGUCAUUCAUCUACAUAUAACAUGGUUCCAACACAUCAUGAGGAUUUUAUAUACUAGCAUGAGCAUUUUGCACCUAUUUCUCUACUACAUAGAGACGAAAUCUCAUGAUACAUAACAUAUGCAUUUUAAUCGUUCUAAAAUUCAUUUGUGCCCUAUCUAGUAUGAAUAUGCAUGAAUUUCUAUUUUACGACAAAAAAUAAAGUAUAGGGGGAGUUCACCCAUUUCGGUGAGGUCAAAUCCACCAAGAGCUCCUUGCAACUCUUUCGUUUGCGCGAACGAAGGUGUCCACGAGUCUUCUAGCUUCCUGAAGUAAUUUCUAAGAGAGUUAGACAAAGCAAACGAACACCCGAAGUGUUCAUCUCAAAUCAACCAAAGCAUAGGGCAAAACUCACCUAAAUGUGGAAAAAUCCUCUCAAAUUCCAAAUGGAAGCUAGAGCCCUUCAAAUCUACCCCAACGAGAUAUUCUACGCCUAUCAAAUAAGCACCAAGAGCUACAAAUCAAAAAUCCCCAAAAUAAAUCCUAGUUUUCUCAUUCUAGGGUUUCAACAUGAAAAAUCGACAAAAACAUGGAUUAAAUGAGGGAAACAUGAUACUAACCUCUUUAGAAGCUCCAAACAAGGUUAGAAAUCAACUAGGGUUGAAGAUCUCUCCUCCAACAAGCUUCAAUCCAAGCUCCAAGACUUCUCUCAUGGUGAAAAUAGCACCAAGAAGCAAAAAGAAGCAAAAGGAGAUGAUUAAACUUCAAAAGUUCCAACUAAAAUGGAAGAAAUCCAAAGAGGAGGUGAGGAGGGCUCCCUUACCUUUCUCUUCUGUGUUGCCAAGCUCAGGGAACCUCCAAGGGGCGUGGGGUAACAUAUAGUGUUGCUACAAAUGCAAAAACACCCCUAAAAAAAUGAGCAGUUCGCAGUCUGCACUGCGUACCGGUACACGGAAAAGAGUACUGGUACCAAGCAGUAGUUUGCGCCAACCCGAGCCUCGGGUUCGUAGAAAAAUACACUGGGUACCGGUACCAGCCCGAUGCUAUACCGGUACCACCUCCAAUUCAGGUACGGGCCCGAUGCUGUACCGGUACAGCUCUACAGAGUCCAACCCGAGAGCAGCCUAAAUAUUCAUUUUAGAGAUUUUAGUACUAAGUUGUAAACCUUGAUUCUCGGGAUGCGAGCCAUAGGUCGGAACACUGUCAACGACCCUCUAGAAUAUCUGAAAAAACUCGAAAUACAGAUUAAACACUCGAACCUUACAAUUUGCUAAAUUUCAGUGUGUUACAGGCCAAGUUCGCCUUCAGGUCCAGAAGAACCUUAAGCUCCACCACACUGUUGGGGUUGUAAGUCAUGGACAGAAUGGCACUAUGAGGGUGGAGACCAAGGAUCGCUGGGGGUUAGGUUGAAUGGCCCCACCCGAAAAAGAAAAGUUUUAGGAACUAGAGACCAAAACACAUAGAGCCGCACUAAUGAGGAAGUUGUCAGCUUGAGGAGUCCUCAAGAGUUGGAUAGUUUCGUAAAUCCAAACUUUGCGCCACAGAUUGGCGUAAGAACCCUCGACUCGGUCCAGCCAUGCUAGAUAUGUGUCAAAAACUUGGGCCAUGUAUGAAGGCUCUUUACCGACGACUUCAAUGCAGAUUAGGAAUGAAGGUAAAUAUAUAACAUCAUUCGUCAAGGAAAGCCUUCCCAUAGAGAAGGGAAAGACUUUGUCCUCAGUAGCCCUACAAAGAAAAGGCCGAGGAUGAAACAAGAAGGAUCGACCUUAAAUGGCUUAAGAAUACUAAAGCUAACAUUAGAAGAUGAGAGAAGAAGAGAAAUCCGAGCCAUUGAAAGGAAAAUAUCCUGGGAGAAGUGAAGAAGGAGAGUCGAAGAGGAGAAAUCGCGAAAAAAAAAGGAGAAAGGAGGUGUUGGAGUGUAACGCACUGGACCUUGCAAAUUGCGGGUUUCGAGUGAUUGAUUGUGUUCUGAGCUUUUCCAGACUUUCUGGUGGGUCGUUGACAGUAUUCCGACCUAUGGUUCGAGUCCCGAGAUGUCACGCCCGGGGGCUCAGCGGAAGCCUACCUGGCGAGUGUCCAGACCCGCCAUACGUCUAAAACAUAUAAGGCGUCUACAAAAAUUUCGAUAGAUAAAACAGUAAUACAAGAGAUCUAGUGAUAUCAGAGGAUUGUAUAACUAGUUCUAUAACAAGGAAAGGACACAAAGCUGAAAGUCCACUAAAUAAAAACAUAAAGUAAGUACAAUAGAGAUCCCAUAACAAGUGCUAAAAGGAGUACAAGGUGGUCUCUCUAUACAUGGUACAAAACCCCUCCCACUCUCACAAAAUAUAAAAUGAAGGGGUAACCACCUAGCGCAAAAGAACUCUCCGCGAGCUAGCUACGCGACACCCUUGCCGCGAUCCCGUGCCUCCGCCGGUGCCGAAGGCUCUGAAAAGGAAACAUAGAAACAGGGGCGUGAGAACUAUUAAAAAUAGUUCUCAGUGGGCAAUUACUGACUUCAGUGAAAUGCACCACUAGGCCCGAAACUAAAGAAAAAGGGUCAGUGUACAAACAACAAAAGCGAUAAAUACACUGUAAGUAAAUAAAUAAACGACUACCCAAUAGUUAUGAUACCUCUACUUAGCAUAAUUUACAUAAGUAAGGAAGCAACUACUAGCUAUAUGCACAUGAACACCGAACAUAUAAAGCAUGAUUAUGCAACUACCCAAAGCCCACAAUGUAAUAGUAAAGAUGUCAUUGUUUAUUAUUCUAGUCCAAGUCCACUUUAACAGUUAUAAGGUUCACAUAGCAUAUUCUGUCACCAAGUCCCAAUCAUAUAAGACCCACCCGAAGGCUGUCUGGCCUGCGCCGUGCCUAAUGGCCCCGUGGUAGUCAACAUCCCCACUCUAGGGAUGAGCCUCCCCCACGGCAAUCCACUUUGGCGCCCAAUCCUGCACGGGCGAGCAUAUGUCGCGAUGGCUAUCUCCGGAGUGCCGGCUUGUAGGGAGCGUCCCUCACAAGCAUGUGCGAAUGAGCACAAUGGCAAGCAAGCAAUGAUCCGUCUCAAGAACCAAGUCCUCAUGUCUAACAACAUGGAAUAUAUCAAGUAUCUCAAUAGCCUAUCUCUAUGUUAUCAUGUCUCUAACAUGGAAUGUAGCAGAUAUGUAGUGGCCUAUCAAUAUGUCUCUAUAUUGCAGUUUAAUAGUUUACUAGUUUCAAGUGCCCCUUGAUGACACUUUUGUUCAACAAGUUCCAAGCAUGGUAUUAAUAUGUUCAUGAUGCAUAAUUCACUCAACUCUAGCAUGGGGACAUGUUCUCAACUUGCAAAACCAAGCACUAUCCAUAAUGCAUGCAAUUUACACAUAUAGCUCUACUAUAUGGAGUACAAAUUUUACGAUAUAUGAGGCAUGCAUGUUAAGUGUUCUAAAAUUCACAUAAAUCAUAUUUAGCAUGAAUUUGCAUUCAAAAAUACUUUACGAAAGGUUUAGAAGGCAUAGGGGCCAUUUUGCCCUAUUUUCAUGAAGUCAAACCCACCGAUGACAACGAAACUCCUCGUUCGCUCCCACGAGGGUAUCCUCUAGUCUCCUAGUACCCUAGAGAUAUAGAAACAUGUGUCAUGUGAGCCAAACGAACAAUACCUAGCUCGAUCAUUAAGCUAAUCAAGCAUAGGUGAGGAAAACUCACCUCUAGUGCAAAAAUCUCCUCUAAAGCUCCAAAAGAGAGCUAGAGCCCUUCCCAACCAAAUGGAAGCCUCUAAUCCUCUCAAACUAGCUUCAAAAGCCCUAGAUUCAAAAUGCCCAAUUAAACCCUAAAAACCUCAUUCUAGGGUUUCAACACAAAGAAGCCAAUAAAAAUCUAAUCUAGAGGGAGAUAACAAGUUGCUUACCUCUUAGAAGCUUCAAACCAAGCUCUAAAUGCUCUAUGUCCAAAGAACUCACCUCAAACAAGCCUCAAACCCAAGCUCCUAGCUCCAACAUUGGGGGAGAAGUCUCUAGCCAAGCAAAAAGGGAGUUUAAUCUCUUAAAACCCCAACCAAAAUCAAAGAAAUCACAAAGGAAGGUGUGGAGGGCUUCCUCACCUUUCUCCCUGCAGGUUCCAAGCUCAGGGGAUGCCCUAGGGGUGUGGGGUUACUAAUAGAAGGCUACAAACGCGAAAAACCCCCUGCAGUUCCAUUCUGCGCAAAACUGCCUCCUUGUACCGGUACACGGGCUCUUGUACCGGUACAAGGCGACGAAAUUGCAAACUCGAGGCUCGGGUUGCGGGGUCUGCGGCUCUGUACCGGUACAAGCCCGAUGGCUGUACCGGUACAACCAUCAACCUUGUACCGGUAUAAGACCAGCCUUGUUCCGGUACAAGCUCUGCUGCAGGCUAACCCGAGAGCUGUCCAAUGAAUCCAAUUUUUGGAUUUUGGUACCAAGCUUUAAACCACAAUUCUCGGGACUCGAACCAUAGGUCGGAACACUGUCAACGACCGACCAGAAAGUCUAGAAAAGUUCAGAACACCGUCAAUAACUCGAACCCCACAAUUUGCGAGGUCCAGUGCGUCACACGAGAAUUGUGGUUUAAAGCUGUGUACCAAAAUCUAAAAAGUUGGAUUUUUGGUUAGCCCUCGGGUAGCCUUCAGCAGGCUGUGUACCGGUACGGGCUUGGUGGCUGUACCGGUACGGGGUUGAUGGCUGUACCGGUACGGGCCCGCGUACUGGUAAACAGACGGCUUUUCGUCCAAACCCGAGGCUCGGGUUUGCGUUUUCGUGGGUGGUAUACCGGUACACAAUCCCGUGUACCGGUACACAGUGCAGAUUGGGGCUGUUUCGUGGAGGGGUGUUUUUGCAAUUGUUGCAACACCUAUAUAAGUGACCCCAGCCCCCUUAGGCUGGGUUUUGAGCCCUAGUUCUGUGGAGACAAGGUGAGACUCUCCCCCUUUGAGUUUUCUCUCCAUUUUUGAUGGAUUUUGGUAGGUUUUGAUCUCUCCUCUCCUCUCCACCUUGCUUUUUGUUGCGUUUCCUCCAUUGUUGAAGGCUUGGAGCUUGGAGAGGAGCUUGUUUGAGAGGAGAUCUUCAACUCCACUUGGCAUGGAGCUUGGUUUGGGACAUCUUGUGAGGUGAGUACUCAUGAUCUCUCCUUUAGAGCUUGUUUUGGUAGUUUUCCUCUUUGGAAACCCUAGAUUUUGGAUUCAAGGGCUAGGAUUAGGGAUUUUUGAUUUGAGGGCUUUGGAACCAAAUUGAUGGGUUUAGAACCUUUGUUUAUGUUUGAUUGGAAGGACUCUAGCUCCCAUUUGGAGAUUGAGGGAGCUUCCUUCGCAAUCGGUGAGUUUUCUUCAACCCUAGCCCGAUUUGGUUAAUGAUUGAGCAAUCCGUUGUUCGUUUCGUUUGGGUAACACUUGUUCCUACAUCCUUAGGGUACUAGGAGGCUAGUGGACACUUUCGUUCGGCGAAACGAAAAGUUCGAAAAAUCAGUAGGUUUGACUUCGUGGAAAAAGGGGCAAAAUGGCCCCUAUGCUCUCUAUACUUGUUGUAAAGUAUUUUUAAAUGCAUUUCUAUGCUAAUUGGAAUUUAUGUGAAGUUUAGAACACUUAAAAUGCAUGUCUUAUGUGUAAGUUAAAUUUCACUCUAUAUAGUAGAGUAAUCAGGGUUAUUUGCAUGCAUGUGAGGGGUGUUCAGGUGGACGAACGGGAUUCUCGUCUAGUAUACUAAUUUAGCUCAUACUCGUGUAUUGAAAACAUUAUACUAUGUUUGGACUUAGUAGCACAAGUGUCAUCAAGAGGCACUUAAACUAGUAAACUAUGAAACUGCAACAUAGAGACAUAACGCUAGGCCAUUGUACAUCUGCUAUAUUCCAUGUUAGAGACAUGAUGUCAUAGAGAUAGGCCUUUGGGACAUUCGAUACAUUCCAUGUUAUUAGACAUGAGGACUUGAUACUUAUGACAGGACAUAUGACUACUUGCCAUUGUGCUCAUUCGCACAUGCUUGUGAGGGUCGCUCCCUACAAGCCGGCACUCCGGAGAUAGCCAUCGCGAUUCGUAUUCGCCGUGCGGGAUUGGGCGCCGAAAUGGAUUGCCGUGGGCCAGGCUCAUUCCUAGGGUGGGGAUGAUGACUACCACGGGGCCAUUAGGCUCGGCAUCGGCCAGACAGCCUACGGGUGGGUCUCAGGGCCAUAGACAGCCUUCGGGUGGAUCUCUUCAGAAUUGACUUUGAGUGUUCACUACGACAUGUGGACGGAUGAUGACUUAGUAUAUGGACUAGAACAGUAAACAAAGACAUCUUCACUAUUUACUUGAGGACAUUGUAUGGGUUGCAUAUUUAUGCUUAUUUAUGUUAUACACAUCCAUGUACAUUCAUGUUAUAGUUGAUUUAUUACUUAUGCAAAUCAUGCUAAGUAGAGACAUUAUGCUAUAAUGAGUUACAUUUUUACUUACCUUCUUCCUUACUACAUUCUGUCACUGACCACUUUCCUUGUAGCUUUGGGCCUUGUGGUGCAUUCACUGAAGUCAGUAAUUGCCCACUGGGAACUAUUUUUAAUAGUUCUCACGCCCUCUUUUCGUGGUUUCUUUCAGAGCCUUCUGCAUCGGCGGAGGCACGGGAUCGCGGCAAGGGGAUCGCAUAGCUAGCUAGCGAGGAGCGGUUAUUUGCCUAGGUGGUUACUCUUUCUUUUUAUAGUUGUGAGAGUGAGAGUUUUUGUAUCCAUGUAUAGAGACCACCUAUGUAUCUACUCUUAGCACUUGUAUUUGGGAUUUUCUUUGUAUUACUUUAUGCUUUUAUUAGUGGAUUACAGCUUGUGUUCCUUUCUCUAUUGUAGAACUUAACAUUAUAUCAUGCUCUGAUACUCCUAGAUGUCUUUUAAUUCUGCUUUUAUUAUCGUUGCUUUUAGACGCCUUAUAUGUUUUAGACAUAUGGCGGGUCUGGGCACGUGCCGGGCGGGCUUCCGCUGGGUCCCGGGGCGUGACAGAUUAAUUUGGUAUCAGAGCCUAGGGUUGAGUCUUAGGGGACCUAGGAAAUCUUAGGCCGGUUGGACUAUAGGAAAUAGGCUCGUGAGAGACGAGGUCUAUUUGAUUUGCGAAGCAAAAGUACCAUGAUUGGGUAUCUUGAUAACUCUAAAAAGUUAGAGUUGGAUCGAAGUGUAUGGCUUCUAACUUCGCGCAGGGUUACGUUGGCGGCCGACAACGUAACUUCGGGAGUUAGUAGUGUAGAACACUUCUUUACUUUCGCAGGAUUUGGGUAUUGUUUAUUGAGCGGGGAUGCGAUAGCGCGGGUUUUACUAACUUGCGCUUUCAUGUUUUGUAGUGACGAUGCCGAUUACACGCUCUCAAUCUGCCGUAGCGGACAAUGCGGCGAACUUUGAGGAGGUCGAGACCUCCGCUACCUCCGGAUCCAGCGAGGUCCGUGAGUUGAGGGGCCAGCUUGCGGCCCUCACUGAUUUACUCACUCAGCAGGCGGAGGCGGCCCGACAGCAGACUGAGGCGCCGCGCCGACAGGAGGCGCGGAUGAAGCGCCUGGAGGACCUUUUACUGCAACAGGCAGUAGCUUCUAGGGAGACUCUGGCCCCUACACCGCCAGCACCAGUUGUGGACGUCGCACCGAGAGCGCCGUCCUCCGCGCCCAGUUCUUCGCGUGCAGCGCCUGCGGCCGCGCCCCGGGAGGAGGUUUUGGCGCCACCACCUGUGCAGAGGCCCCUGGUUGGAGCUGCAUUCCCUACCUUGGUUGAGGGGGCGGAGCGAGACAGACUGAUGGAGCGCCUCAAUGAGUUCAGGAGGUGCAGUCCCCGAGUCUUCGACGGCGAGAAGGUCGACCACUGGAUCGUGGAGAAGUGGUUGAUGCAUACGGAGAAGCUCUUCCGCGACACCUUCGUGGAGGAGAGGGAUCGAGUUUGGCUCGCCACUCACCACUUGGACGGCGAGGCCUACCGCUGUUGGUUGGAUCUUCAGGAGUACCCCAGCACUGACUUGGCGGCUAUCACUUGGACGAGGUUCAAGGAGCUUCUUUUGGCCCAUUACUUUUCGACCAACGUCAAGCGAAAGAUGGAGCAAGAUCUGCGCAACUUGCGCCAGGGCGACCAGACUGUGGCCGAGUACGAGCGGGAGUUUUCUCGGCUUUUGCAUUGCGUGCCUUUCGUCGUGCGGGACGACGAGGACAAGGCCCGCAUUUUCGAGCGAGGACUGAGGCCGUCCAUCUUUCGGUUCGUGCAAUCCUCUAACCUCCAAACCUACCGGGAGGUGGUGGAUCGCGCGCUCAUUGUAGAGAGCGGCGCGGCGGAUGUCCAGGAGCAGCGAGAGGCUAGGGACAGGGGCAAGGCCAAGAGGCCUGCGGCUGAGGGUGUGAGCCAGACGCACUCUAGGAGGCCACCGAAACUUCCGAGGAGCCAGCAGCGUGGAUGCGGCUCAGCAGCGCAUCGAGGAGGAUCCGAUCGUCGCCGGCCUUCCCCGUGUGUGAUCUGCGGUGGUCCUCAUUACCCGCCGCAGUGUCCAUAGUGGGCGGGCAGGUGCUUCCUGUGUGGCUAGGAGGGCCACGUCUGUACUGAGUGCCCGAGAGGUUCUUCACCGGCACCGUCGACUGCAUCGGCACCGGCUCUACCAGCCGUCAACCACGGGACUCCGUCGACACAGUACCAGCCUGGGCGGCCACCCGUCGAGCGCCAGAGCGAGGGAUCCCGAUAGGCCCCGAGUGGGCGCAUGUACGCCGCUCAGACCAAGGAGGCGGCAGCAGCCGAGGAUGUGGUUGCAGGUAUCAUUUUACUUGAUAGCAUUAGAGUUUGUGCUUUAUUUGAUACCGGUGCAUCGCAUUCAUUUAUAGAUCGGCUGUUUGCUGAGUUGCAUGACAUUCCAUUGGUUUCUUAAUUGCAUCCGGGACACUUUGUUGUACCCGACCAUAUUUUGGAUAUUAGAGAGUAUACCCCCAGUUGCCCUGUUCGGGUGGGAGAUUUGAUCAUACCUGUAGAUUUGCUAGCUUUGCGCAAGCUUGGGGAUUUUGAUGUGGUCUUGGGAAUGGAUUGGUUAACCAAGUAUUAUGCCACGAUUGAUUGCAAAAAUCGCACGGUUACUUUUAGAGAACCGGGGCAGACCGAGGUAGUAUUUAGUGGAUGCCGGAGUUCGCUGUUUGCGAUGACGAUCAGCUCGUCUCGAGCUAGGCAGUUGAUCAGCAGAGGUUGUGUAGCCUAUUUGGCUAGUGUUGUGCUGAGGGGCGAGGAUGACACCCCUAGGAUCGAGGAUAUUCCUGUGGUGCGGGAGUUCCAGGAUGUGUUACCAGCUGAGCUACCGGGCAUGCCUCCUGAUAGGGAGAUUGAGUUUGUGGUAGAUCUCGUCCCUGGGACUACCCCAAUCUCAAAGGCACCCUAUAAGAUGGCACCGGCAGAGCUGAGGGAGCUGAGGGCAUAGCUGCAGGAUUUGUUGGACAAAGGCUUCAUACGGCCGAGCGUUUCGCCUUGGGGAGCACCAGUUUUGUUCGUCAAGAAGAAUGACAGAUCACUUCGCCUUUCGUGGAUUAUCGUGAACUGAAUAAGGUCACGAUCAAGAACAAGUAUCCGUUGCCGAGGAUCGACGACUUGUUUGAUCAGCUUCAGGGAUCGUGUGUGUAUUCCAAGAUAGACUUGCAGUCGGGAUACCACCAAUUGAGAAUCAAGCCCGAGGAUGUAUCGAAGACGGCUUUUAGAACACGGUAUGGACAUUACGAGUUCACAGUUAUGCCGUUUGGGCUGACUAAUGGCCCGGCAGCUUUUAUGGAUCUAAUGAACCAUGUUUUCAAGCCUUAUCACGACAGGUUCAUCGUGGUAUUCAUCGACGACAUUUUGGUCUAUUUCCGAAGUGAUGCAGAUCACGAGGAGCAUUUGAGGCUUGUACUCCAAGUACUUCGGGGAAAGGAGCUUUUUGCCAAGCUGAAAAAGUGUGAAUUUUGGCUUCGAGAGGUAGCCUUCCUUAGAUAUUUGAUAUCGGGAUCAGGUAUUGCUGUGGAUCCCAAGAAGAUUGAGGCUAUCCGGGAUUGACCGAGACCGACUAGCGUCACGGAGAUUCGGAGUUUUCUUGGACUGGCCGGCUACUACCGGAGAUUUGUCGAGGGGUUUGCUAAGUUAUCUACUCCCCUCACGAGGCUCACGCAUAAAGGAGUCAAGUUCAUUUGGAAUGAUGCGUGUGAGAGAAGCUUCCAAGAGUUGAAGCAACGUUUGACGACUGCCCCGAUCUUGACCUUACCAGUAGCUGGAGCAGGGUAUGUGGUAUAUAGUGAUGCUUCACUUAAUGGUUUGGGAUGUGUGUUGAUGCAGGAUGGCAGGUGAUCGCGUAUGCUUCUCGCCAACUGAAGGAAUAUGAAAGGAACUACCCGACGCAUGAUUUGGAGCUGGCAGCCGUAGUGUUCUGUCACGACCCGGGACCCAGCGGAAGCCCGCCCGGCGCGUGCCCAGACCCGCCAUAUGUCUUCAACAUAUAAGGCGUCUAAAAACAACAAUAAUAAAAGCAAUAAUAAAAGACAUCUAGGAGUAUCAGAGCAUAAUAAAUGUCUAAAUGCUACAACAAAGGAUGAGGAAAAGCUGUAAAUCCACUAAAUAAGGCAUAAAGUAAAUACAAUAGGAAAUCCCAAAUACAAGUGCUAAGAGUAGAUACAUAGGUGGUCUCUAUACAGGGUACAAAACUCUCACUCUCUCAACUACAAAAGAAAGAGUAAACCACCUAGGCAAGUAAGCUCCUCGCUAGCUAGCUACGCGAUCCCCUUGCCGCGAUCCCGUGCCUCCGCCGGUGCCGAAGGCUCUGAAAAGGAAACCAUAAAACAGGGGCGUGAGAACUAUCAAAAAUAGUUCCCAGUGGGCAAUUACUGACUUCAGUGAAUGCACCACAAGGCCCAAAGCUACAAAAGAGGUUAGUGACUAUAGAUGUAGAAAAGCGAAAGGUAAGUAAAAUGUAACUUACUACAACAUGAUAUCUCUACUUAGCCUAAAUAGCAUAAG